AUUUUCUCUUUCAUCAGCUGUAACUUAAACCACUGAACACGCUGCUGUACAACGAUGUCCUGUGUGUUACUGCAGACAUAAAGAGCAGCUUCCUUGGGUUAUAGAAGCAGUGACUUUUUCAGCGUGAUUUUUUGCCAUAAAGGGCAAUCUGGUGACUCCAAGAAACUCAGCAGCAGUUCGAGCUCUUGCUUCUUUGCAGGAUAAGGAGUUUUAAUGAGCUCUCAGUGGCCUAAUCCUGUUAACACCCUCUCAAUUUCACUGUGCUUCUGGCUAUCAGGAAGGUUUAUGUCAGCUCCCCAUAGCCAGAACAGCCAGCUCACAGUACAGCCCUUCCUCCUCAACUGGGAAGACCUGCAGCAGGGACCAGACUGGCUUUCCCAAAACCAUCCUUCACCUGUAAUUCUCAACCAUUUUUUUCUAUCUGAAAACUUGUGGACAUUAACACACCCUAAUAGAAGUUCUAAUAAAAGAAAGAGAUGGAUUUUAGGAACUCAUGGCAGUGACACUAUGGACAUCAGUGCAGGGAACUGCUUGACCUAGCUCCUUCUGGAAUAUUGACUGUUGCAGCACUU